GCCUGGGUGGCUCAGUCAGUUAAGCAUCUGACUUCGGCUCGGGUCAUGAUCUCUUGGUUUGUGGGUUCGAGCCCCACGUCAGGCU
rfam:Felis catus isolate Cinnamon breed Abyssinian chromosome E3, whole genome shotgun sequence.